AAGGUGUGGAGGCAUCAGAGGUGUAUUCCUUCCACUUUUGGGGGUCGAUCCUUUAUUGCCUGCUUGCUGUACGACAGGCUUUCCAUAAACACCUAAACGCCACCGCUGUGUGGGAGGUGACCCGCCCGUGACGUAACUCUAGACGCCCGCCGGAGUGGAAGGACCCCAAGUCCAGGACUGGAAAGUGCGUGAUUUACAACUAGAGGGAUAGCAGCUGUCCCGGAGCCCGUCCCGGGCCAGGGAGCAGGAGAGGGAGGACUACAGUUCCCGAAGCGCCGCGGGGCGGGCGGAGAUCGUGCGCUUUCUCAGGCCGCGCCCAGCGCGCUUCGGCGCUGGUUGCACGGCCUUGGUCUCGGGUGGCGGCUUCCCUGCUCCUGUGACGGUCCCCUUGUCUUCCGACCUCUCGGUCCUCGGUCGUCUGUUCACGCCGGUCGCCGCGGCAGCCCCUGAUUGCCGAGCGACGGGUUCCCACGCCCAGCUGUGAGCACCAAGCCCAGAGCCUGGUUGAAUCCUUGGCCACCCUGCCCACCCGUUUGGCUAUUAUCCUGCCACCUCCAAAUCCUGUUUUUUGGUAUCUCCUGGAAGAGGGGGCAAAUGGAAAGAAAAAGGAAAAAAACUACUUGUAGCCGUAGUUAGUGGGUAAAUUCAGCUUUCGUUUGAACUGAGGUGUUUAUCUCCAUUCACCCUAUCUGCCACCACCAGAAUCGUCUUUUUAGUAAUCACAGCUUGUCCCCAUCAAUACCUUGUUCAGAAGCCUCUCACAGCUUCCAUCGUCUGGUUAAAAAGUCCAAAUUCAAGAGAAAGAGUGCUUGUGUUAAUGUCUAGACCUUUCCAGCCAUUUCCUAGCUCCUCCGUAUGGAAACUGCAACUGAAAACACCGUUUCCAAAAAAAAAAAAAAAAAUCAGUCUACAUUUUUCUCUGGAUUUUCUUCUCGAAAUUUCACAUCCCUGCCUCUCUUACACACUGGAUACCACCUGCUGUGGAGUGGAGGAACCGCCAUCCAUCAAUAGCUAGGUGUCCUGUCGUUGACACCCAAGCUAGACAGGCGUGUACGUAACUGAGGACGUGCCCUUGAUCGAAGUCCCAGCUUUCCUCAGACAGAUAGGCAGAAAACAAGAGUAAGGUUAAAAGAGAAAAGGUUGUGGUGGUGGGCUUUCAACUUGUCUCCAGAUAUCAGCAAUUUGCUCACAGCCUCAGCACUUACCCUCAAAGUGAUUUGAAGCCAGAGGGUAAACAUGUUGCUUCUUCCUGAAACACUGAUUUUUACCUAGAAACCAGACCAAAAAAAAAAUUAGUUUUAAGACAGUCAGUUUGAAAUAGAAUGCAAAACUAAUAUGAUUGUUAAAGCAAAAUUUUCUUCAACCUGAGGAAGCUGAUUGAGAAAAGAAAAAAUGGAUAAAGCAGCAUUUGAAAGGACUUUGAUGACCUGCACACGGCAGUCGCCCUCUGUAAAGGAGGACGAGCCCGCUCUGCCUUGUGGGUGUGUGAACGCCUGGCGGCUGUAACAGUUGGUCACAUGAGAAGCUUCCUGUUGCUUCCAAGACUGGAGGAGGAAGAAGGCAGAACCAUAGCUGGAUGUCUGCAGUUGGAAAGACUCACUUGGAACUGUAUCCGCACAGCACCAGUGGCAGACAGCGGCAGCCGCUCACCGGAACCUGACACGUGAUUACGUUCUACCAGCCAAACAUCAGCAGAAGGGGCCUGGCCCCUAGGGUCUUCCCAUUCUCUUUGUCACUUCCUGCUGACUGGAAGAGAAAGGAAUCCCAGGAUGCUGAGCUGGUGGUUAAGCUACUGUCUCAACCCCAUACCUUUCCUUUUAUACUCUGCCAGUUUACGAGCAGAGCAGCAUAUGAAUCUGGUUGGCAGAUUCUCUGACACACGCAGAGCCCCUCAGAGAUGCCAGCAAAGUUGGGUUCCUGGCUCCACAGGGCACUGGCUCUAAGAGCAGCGACCCCAGCAUCAGCCCAGAAGGUCCCUCCUCAGAUGUCUGUGUGUGAGCUGUGGGCGGCAGCUCCUCCACGUUUCUUAGUUUUGCUUACUCCCUCCCCUUUCCUUUGUUCUCUCCAGCCCAAGGGUGUCAGCUGCUUGUCGCAGUGGCUCCUUCUGUGAUAUUUUAGUGUUUUGUUUUUACCUUUCCUCUCUUAAAAUAAUUUGGGUGUAAUGUGGGUCUUGGAGCUGAACCCUACCACGGUCAUGUGUGUAAGAUGCUGGAUCCUCCUGAGGAGCUCCCUGCGGGAAAGAAGCUCACCCUACCAGCCUGUUUUUGACCUUGGACUCAAGCACUCGGUGAACCCAGGUUACAGCUGAAUGAGCUGUGAAAGACUGCAUCUUUUUCUUUUGAUGCUUUCUUCUCCCACCCCAAGCUUGGAGGAAUUCACUAGCUGGUGAAUAAGGAAAAUGUUGGAGCAAAGAAAAAGCCUGUCAUGCCGCACUCCUACCCACCACACUCAUCUUGCUGGCGUCUAAGAACAGCCACCAGCUCCAAACGUGUGGGAGAAACUCGUUGAAGACGGGACAUAGGUGACAGCACAUCGCACUGGACUUUGUGUUGUCUCAGAGUGACUGAGAAGGCUAGGGUGCAUGCCCAAGACUUCAUCUGGGGUAAGAGAGAGCCCAGAGGACAAAUCCCACAGACAACAAUGAUUUAAAAACCAAGAAAUGGAGGAAGUGGCUUUAUGAUCACUUCUGCUCAGUGCUCCCCUCCUGAGGCAUGUGCAUCCACACCCACCCGCCCCCUCCCCUCUCCCUCCUUCUCACCCGCCUCCCAGUCAAUUCCUCGGUUGUUGUGUGUGCCCAGCUCUUAUUCUUCACAGUGCAUGGCUCCAGGCAGCCCCUUUGUAAGAUUGGGCUUGGUGUGCAGGUGACACCCCCUUGCCAUCCCAGGCAGUAAAUCCAGCCAGUUCUUCAAGGUCCGUUCUAGUCCAGUUCCUCUGGGAAAUGUCCUUGAUAGUGUUUUGAACAUCAAACUUUUUUGUUUUAUUCUGGUAUUAUUCUUGGUCCUUCUUUUUUUUUUCCUUUGUCUCCUCCUCACAUCUAAGCAGUAUGAGUCUUGUUGGUAAGAAGGCUGUCUGCCUGUCUUGCCACCGCCAUCAUGGUCACUGCCAUCCCAGGCAGUCGGUUCUCUCCCGGGUCCUGUGAGGAGCAUCUCCCUGCAGCACGCUCCCUGCAUGUGCCCCUGUUCCCCCCACUUGCUAGGGCUGAAAACCGAGUAGGCUGCCUCACUCCUCUCUACUCCACGCCCCUGCCAGCCACAGUCAGCGUGUGUGCGACUCCCAGCACCUCUCAUUGUAUGCAUCAUCCUCUCCAUUCCUUGUGCCCUGACGUCUGUCCCAGGGGGCAGAACGCACUCACUGCCAUGUCCCCAGUGCCCAGACCAUGUCUCUUACACAUCUAUGAAGAAAUGAUUACUGAAUCAGUGAACUGAGUGAAUAAAUAAAUGGAUGUGUUAGAGAGCCGAUAGCUGGAUGAAAGCACAACCCACAAAGGUUCGGGCACUUCUGAUUCUAGUAACUGAGUUAGAAGCAAGGUGUGCCUGCUCACUUGAAGCCAUAAAAGAAAACUGCAGAAGCCUUAACAAACCUAGUGAUAAAAUAUCACUGGAAAAAUUACUGUUUUAAGUCUGGGCUAACAGCAUUACCUUGUCUCUAAUGCUGGGUGUGGUGGUGUGUGUCUGCAGUCCCAACUACUCAGGAAGCUGAGGCAAGAGGAUCACAAGAGCCCAGGAAGUUGAGGCUGCAGGAAGCUGUGAUUGCACCACUGAACUGCAGCCUGAGAAAGAGAGCAAGAUACUGUCUCGUGUGUGUGUGUGUGUAUGUGUAUAUAUAUAUAUAUAUAUAGUUUAUAUCUGGAUAUUUGUUUAAAGAGCUGUCUGUGAAUAUCAUACAAAAAGCAAAGCACUUGACCCUACGAGAGUAGCUAUUUUAAAGAAGUGAGCAAAAAUGCUUGCUCAGCACUCAGUUAAUGCCCCAGCUGAAGAUUAGUUGUUCAGAUUAAGCAGCUAUCACAGGACACUAAAACUUAAGUAAUGGAAAUGAAAUCAAAUUGGAGAAGAAUAAUUAGAAAAGAAAGCAACAAACUUCUCCAGUGUUACUGAAGUUGCAAACAAAUGACACGUGAUAAAUCACAGUCAAGGACACCGAUUGCAUUAAACUAAGGUUGUUAUCUCUGUUCUUAAACAUGUGUUAAUGUGGAAGACGGAGGUGGUUGGCAGCAGCAUCCUUAAUCUUCCUUCUUGUGGGUCUUUUGUGGACUGGAGGGUCUAGACAGCUAACCUUGCAUGUUCAUAGCUAGAGUUUUGGAUGUGAGUUAGAGCCUGAUAAUUAGAUGUACUCACAAAAGCUGUGGAAGGAAGAAGCAAGGGCAAGACCCAUCCCUGCUGCUCUGGCUGUACAGGAGAGCUUGCCUCUCCACCCCCAUAGUGGUCGUCUUGCAGGCAUCAAGCCCCUUCGCAGCAGUGAUGGCUGGUGCUUUCUUGUUUCGGUGGGAAAGGAGGACUUCCAGGCACCAGGUACAUGCUCUGCUCCUGACUCCAUGCCUUCCUCACUCAGCAGAGGUAGCAGCCUUUGGCCCGCAUGGGCCUGCAGUGUUCCAGAGUCCUUUCUGAAGGCCAAGUCUGGAACUAGUUUUCCAACCCCAGUGUACAGCAACACUGUGGCCACUCCAUUUUAAAGUCUUUUCUACUUAAAGUGGUUAGGAUGGGCUUAAAAAUUGAUACAUUGUAGAAAAAUUAAACCAAGCCAAUUAAUAUAUCCAUCACCUCACUAACUUACAUUUUGUGUGUAGAGAGAGAGAAUGUUACAAAUCUAUUCUUUUAGCGGUUUUGAAAUAUGCAAUACAUUAUGAUUAACUGGUCAACAUGCAGUGCAAUAGAUCACCAAAACUUACCCCUCCAGUGGAACUGAAACUUUGUGUCUGGUUUAAAACAUUUGUAUAAAUUUAGGGUAUACAAGCAAAUUUGUUACAUGGAUAUAUUGUGUAGUGGUGACCCAGGAUGGGCUUUUACUAUAAGUGUUAAUUGAGUAAUGUACAUUAUACUCAUUAAGUAAUUUAUCCCUCACCCCUCCCGCCUUCCCACCCUUCCUAGUCUCCAUGUCUGUCGUUCCACUCUCUAUGCCCAUGUGUACACAUUGUUUAGCUCUCAACAUCUCCCAUUCCCCCAUCCCUCCAGCCCCCACUCUGGUGAUUACCUCUCUACUUUGUUUCUAUGAGAUCAACUUCUUAAGAUUCCACAUAUAAGUGAGAUCACACAGUAGUUGUCUUUUUGUGCCUGUUUUUAUUUCUUGCAAUGUAAUGCUUGCUAAUAUGGGAUUUAGUAGCAAAAGUAGUUGUAUGCAACAGUCCCUAGGAGCAAGACCCUAGAACUGCUUAUCAGCCUUGGGUGGAUUUGAGGGCAAUAAGGCCCUAAUUACCACUAGUAAAUGAGAAAUUGGACUUUUGACACACUAGGAAACAGCUGCUUAAAUUAUCUCCCGCAGUCCCUGGGAAUGCAAAGCCUGUUGAAGGCAGACGGAGGACCCAGUGACUACAGCAACAUCAUAGUGAGAAUGAGGACUCUAAGGAGGGUGGGGAGCCAGCUGCUUGUGACCAAACUGAAGGGUUCAAAGAAAGAAAAUGUCGGCUUGAGAGUUUACAUACUCAGUUCAAGGAAACGUGUCCGGAGGUACAGCUCAUAACUGAUUCACAGGAAGUUGAUGGCAGGUUGGAUACUUGAGGACCUGAAAGAAAUAAGCCUGGAGAACUGGUGACAAAGACAUCUGUAGAAGAGGCAUCGGUUCCCAGAUCAGGAAUGCGGAAUCCCAGAUUAUCAUCAGCGUCAUCAGUACUGGGAAACCAGUGGCAAAGUUAACACAAGACUGUAACGAUCCAAUAUAAACCGGACCCAAAGGGAUCAAACCCAUGAAGAAUGAAGAUUUUAUUUACCAGGAAAAUGGCCAAAGUGUUUUUUCAAAUAGACAAAAAGAAGUUUAUUGUAAAUAAUUAUAAUUAUGAUCACUUAUGAAAAUAAGCUUUUUGAUUGCUGGUAGAAAGAAAGACUAUAGUAACUAAAAUUUCUUUCUCAUUCCAGGAAAGUUAUAUUAGCCAAGUUCCUUUUUUCUUUUUCCCUUUUCUCUUUUAGUUUGAUAGAGGUGUUGGCAGUGAUUGAUGCCUUAAUAUAGUCUAUUGUUUGCAGAGGUUAUGAUUGUGACUGACAAGGACAUCUCCAGUGAUGAAGGUGCUGAUGGACAAGACCCUGGAUAGCUCUUCUUUUGCGGAGAAGAUGGGCUGCUUUUCAUUUGUAUGGAGAAUAAAUCCACUGUGUUGGGCAGGAUAAUUUGUUGUGAUUCAGUAUGGCAGCAGUUUCAGCAUAGAAUGGUGUGGAGAUGCUGAGUUGCCUAAAUAGCUUUCCGUGGCACUUUUGGUGGAUGACACUCCAUUCUAACUUCUUCCUUAAGCACAGCUUCUCAGAAAGGCCUUCCAGACUUAUGCCUGGAGCCAGGGGCACAGAUCACCUCUCCAGCUUUUUUACCCUACUGGAAGUAUUUGAUUCUCUGCAUUAAGCCCCUGUAUGUUUAGGAUAGCUAGUGAUUCCUGCUCCUCGCUUGUUAGCCUGGGUAUGGCUUGGAUACUUUCUUCCACUGCUUUGGAAGAAGACACAAAACUACAUAUGAACUCUUGAGUUUUCCCAAGCUGGUUUCUUAGCUUAUCUUCCUCCUUUCUGUCAAUGAUGGCUCAUUCUCUCUGUCAACUCUCUGCUCACUGUUUUCUCCAUGCCUUCUCUAAAUGCCUCUUUCUUCUCAUCCACACUGCCUCACUCCUAGCGUGGGCAGGCUCCAUUACCACACAGGUAUACCCAGUAUCACCUACUGAUCUGUGGUGUGGCUUCACUCAUCUCGUUCCACCAUCUUUUACAGCUUUGACACAUUUGUUUUCUUUUAAAAAAAGAACAAAAGAACUGGACACAGACACUCACGUCUGUAAUAUGAGUGCUUUGGGAAGCUAAGGUAGGAAGAUUGUUUGAUGCCAGGAGUUUGAGACCAGCCAGGACAAUAUAGUGAGACCUCAGCUCUACAAAAAAAAAUCAACUUGGCAUGGUAGCACACACCUCUAGUCCCAGCUAUUUGGGAAGCUGAGGCAGGAGGAUUGCUUGAGCCCAGGAGUUUGAAGCUGCAGUGAGCUAUGAUCGUGCCACUGUAUUCCUGCUUGGGCAACAGAGGAAGACCCUGUCUCAAGAGAAGCAAAACAACAGAACAAAAAUAAGCAUGAUGUUUUCUUAGUUUGAAAAGCCAGUCACUAAGGUAACCUACAAGACAAAGCCCCAACAUCAUAGAUGGAGUUGAUGUCCUCCCUCUCCGCUUCCCACACGUCUUUGGAGUUUCGUUACUGAUACGUUACACCAAGUCUCAGCCCCCUGUUCAUGCCGUGGAUUAUCCCAGCUGUAUCCUCAUUUUAAACAUCUCUCUCAUGGAGAGUGCUGACUGGCUACCUUCGCCUGGCCAAAUCCUGCCACCUUUGACUUCCUCCUCAAAGCCCACAUUUCCCAUAAUUUGUCCCUAAUUUAUCUAGCUCAGAAUAAUCACUGUCCCAUGAACUCCUACAGGAUUUAUGAAAGAACUGGGUCGUGCACUCAGUCUCACGCUGCUUUGUGCUGUCUCUGGGAUGUUCUUGUUUGUUUCCAUGUUUUUCUGGUUUGUUAUCUCUUCAGCUGUUCUACAAUAUGUAGGUCAUAAAUCCUGAGAACCACGGAUUAUCACUGUGUCAUCCACAAUGCAUAUUAUAAAUUGAUUCAUAAAGCAGGGUUUAAUCCAUGAUUAUCCAACUGAAAUGGACAUUUGAGAAUCGUGGAUGGGGAAACAGCUCAUGCAGUCAGCCCUGGAGGGUGAUGGUAAAUACUGUGUGUUCUAAUAUCAGCUCAGUUAUGUGUGUCUUCUGUGCGUGAAAUGUUUUUUUCACUUGUAUCUGAGAUUUCCUGCUCCUAAAUGGGGGUAAGUCUAUUGACUCAUUGAUGAGGAAUCCUGUGAAGUGCAGCGUUGUUUGUGAAGCAUCUCUUUUCUCUUAUAAACAGCAAGAUGAAGAGAACAGUGUACCUUUCCUCAUGAAGUAUGUUUAAGUCACGGAUCUAAAAUUUGAGAGAAGCAAAGGAAAUCCAAUAAAUUUUAAACUUGACAAAGGUGACCUCUUGUUCUUGAACCAAGUGGUCCUAAUUUAGAAAAGAAGAAAAAGAAAUCCUUGUUUCUGCCAGAGUUUAUGUUUUCUAUUCCCUUAUCCAAAGUCUUUGCUAUUUUUUUUUUUAGGGGCAACUCCUAUGUCCCACUAGGUUUGAUGAAACUCCCAUAUGUUAUAGGAAUAAAGUACAUGAUUUCCUCAUCUAAACAUCUUCCCAGAAAACUAAGCGUUCAUGUUAGAAAUCAACACAUUCCUACUCGAUUCUAAUUUAUUAAACAAACUAAACAUCUGCUCCAGGCCAGGCACUGCUCUGGGGAGUUAGAGAUGGUGAAGAUGUACUCCCUGUCUUCAGGCUGUUCAAGUAUGGCCAGGUGAGCCCCAUGCAAGGUACUCUUCACUGAGCACAAUGACAGAGGCGCAACCAGGGUUAGCAGGGUAGGGCAGGACUUCUCACCAGUCAUCCAGGCAUACUUCCCAGAGGAAAUUGGCCUUGCAUUCUGAGCUGGAGGCUAAGACAGGAUUUUGCCAAGAACAGAGCCAUUAGAGUUAGUGCAUUCCCAGGGAAGAGGGAACAAUUUUGGCAAAGGCACCUGGCAUAAAAAUAUUGGCUUAAUGAAGGGAGAUAUGUAUUAGCAUAUGGCUGCAGGGAAGGUUGUCUAGGGAAUGAUAAGGAAAGAUUACAUAAAAGUGGGUUUCGGGGUCUUUAAGUUGCAGGGAAGGAAUUUGGGCAGCAAGAAUAUAUUGAGUUUUGUGGGAAGUCAGGGAAGGGCAGGGAAAGGAUUCGAAUAACGCUUUGGUCUUCCAAGGAAGAGAGCUUUCUAGGGAUGGACAGACUACAGUGGAUGAUUUAUGCCAGUGCGUAGAUUUAUAUAUACAUAUUGUAAAAACGCAGCACAGUGUAACAGGAAGUGGAGCAGAAGCUAAGGGGCUUGUCUUCUAGAAAUACUGGGGGUGGCAUGAUGCAAAGAUGGAAACUCUGAGGACACAGCCUCUUACUGUGUAACUGUGGCCAAAUAACCUUUGAAGAGGGUCUUUAUUCACUCAUUGUAAAAUGAGGGCAACAAGGCUUUCCCUUGUGUUGAAGUAAUUGCACAUA